UGGGGAGAAAAAAAAUGAGAGAAUAAGAAGAGAGUAGUUGUUGAAUUUCUCAACAAAUUUACUGAAAUGUCAAAUGAUCAAAAACUGAAGAACUAUUUCCACCAUUCUGUAUCUAUAUGCUCAAUACAGAAAUUGCAUUACUAAACACAAUAAAGAAAAUGUUUUUUAACUAAAACUUAUUACAAUUUCAUUUAAUCAAAAUGGCAUCGUAUGACUCGAACCUAAACAACAUUGCAUGCUUUUGAAUUUCAGUUACUUUUGUUGGCUGCUUCUUUCCCCUUAUUUCUUUUGGUUCUGAUUCUUUUCCUUUCCCAAUUACUCUUCACGUGAUAAUCCUUCCCUUCACAUUGAUCUUGUCCCCAAAAUCUACAGAGAGGAAGAUGCAAUUUGAUCCAAUCCACAUCUUCCCAUGUUGCACAAUCUAGGGUAGAAUCUGACCAAUGAAUAAGCCACGAGAUGGUGGUGUUAUUUUUGUGUGCAACGGUCCUGCACUGUAGGAUGGAUGAUGUGUUGGUAGUUUAGACUUACACUCAUGAGGCAAUUGAAGUACUGGCAUUGCCCUGUCACUUAACAACUUCUUCAACAAUGAAACAUGAAAGAUUGGAUGAAUUUUGGAGCUGGUUGGAAGUGCCAAUUUGUAUGCCACAGUGCCUAACUUCUUGGUAAUCUGAUACGGUCCAAA
rnacentral:lncRNA from 1 species